UUGACCUCGGAUCAGGUAGGACUACCCGCUGAACUUAAGCAUAUCAAUAAGCGGAGGAAAAGAAACCAACAGGGAUUGCCCCAGUAACGGCGAGUGAAGCGGCAACAGCUCAGAUUUGGAAUCUGGCCCCCAGGGCCCGAGUUGUAAUCUGGAGAGGAUGCUUCUGGCGCGGCGCCUUCCGAGUUCCCUGGAACGGGACGCCGGAGAGGGUGAGAGCCCCGUACGGUUGGACGCCUAGCCUUUGUGAAGCUCCUUCGACGAGUCGAGUAGUUUGGGAAUGCUGCUCAAAAUGGGAGGUAAAUUUCUUCUAAAGCUAAAUACCGGCCAGAGACCGAUAGCGCACAAGUAGAGUGAUCGAAAGAUGAAAAGCACUUUGAAAAGAGGGUCAAACAGUACGUGAAAUUGUUGAAAGGGAAGCGCCCGUGGCCAGACUUGUGCCCCGCGGACCACCCGGCGCCCUCAGCGCCGGUGCACUCCGCGGGGCGCAGGCCAGCAUCGGUUUUCCUAGGGGGAUAAAGGCGGCGGGAACGUGGCUCCCUCGGGAGUGUUAUAGCCCGCCGCGCCAUGCCCCUGGGGGGA
rnacentral:rRNA from 1 species